ACGGAAGAACUGCACAUGCAGCUGCCUGCCUCACGGAAGAAGCCACCGGAAAGAUGCUGGAGAUUCCGAGAUGCGAGAGCUGUCAGCACCAUGCGAAGUGGUGUGGCGGAGGGCACACCACUGGGCUUCCUACAAUGGGAAUGCCAUUGCUUCAUGCUCGCAAUCUGAGGGGAGUCGGCAACAGGAAACUAGUUCCUCUACGAGGCCGACUCCCUCAGAAGAUAUACAAACUUAAACAAUAGUGUUCCUGUGCCGGCACUUCUCGACGCUGUGGGCAUAUUAUUCACGUCAGCAGUUGAGGCAGCGUCGGGUUCCUCUUACCCAGAAGAUGGAACAUGGGGAAGAGUGGCGGAAGAAAGUGGCUUGAGAAACACCUGGAAGACAAGAAAGAGGUUGAAGCAACGGUGGCUUCGUGCACGUGAAGAUAAGGGUAAGAUACCGAGAUGCAUCACUAGGAUGUUGUGGUGUGGCGGAGGGCACACCACUUGGGCUCCCUGCAAUGGGAAUGAGUAGUCCCUGACUGCAAAGAAAGAAGAUCUGUAUGUGAUGUGGCGGAGGGUAAACCACUUGGGCGUCCUACAAUGGAAAUUGGGUAAGAAGUUCAACUUUGUUCCAGAGAAGAAAGUCCAUGCAAUGUAUAGUGACAUAUAUAAAAAAAGAUAUGCAAACCAACAGAUAAUUACUACAGAAUUUCUGUUUUGAUACAAAUACAUUUAACUCGCCACGCAAUAUCUUAGAUGGUCCUUUCUCGAGUCGUUCCUUGUCAGAGCACAUGCUGACAUCCGACAUGUGUGCAGAAUCGAGGAAUCUAACGUUGUUAAAACCUAUUAUCAUUGCCCCUUGGAUGUCUAGCCAAAGGGCCAUUAUUUUCUUCAACUUGCCAAACGUUUGGCAUUCUACAGCAUUAGUUUCUGUUUGAAGGAAUUUCUUCUCAACUUUUUCUCGUUCCGGUGUGGUUAGCCAAAUUAUUGGAGACAUAACAGGCUCAGGUCUUUCGCUCCCUUGAAACCGAUACAAGAUUGCUUGGGCGGGGCAGUUAUUGUAGGUGCCACGUGAUGACUGCGGGUUGUUUCGGUCACAUCUAGGCUUGCACCUUAGAGCAUGUUUUUCUCUUCAGCAGAAACAAAAAUCCUUGCGGAUACAAGCAAAACACAUUGAUACCAUGUCGAGAAAAAUUGCCGAUUUAUUCUGACGUGGCCGUUUUAUAUUUCAUCUUUUAGAAAUGGUGUGGCAUGAAAGAAGGACUAUGCCAGUGCGGGAACUUUUCACAGCCGUUGAAAAGGUUUUCCAAUCUAAAGACCGGGCCGCCAAAGAAUCUACUUAUAAAGCAGACGGUGAUUUUGGGAAGGUAACAGUAGAAAUAAAAUGGGGGAAUAACCUGAAAAACAGGAAAAGGCUAAAACAAGUUCAAUAAUAAAUGACACAACCAAGUAUGCCACCUACAAUCACCUCUAAAAACAUCUGCGGAUACACGUAUCAAGUCUUUUACACUAUUCAAUUCGCAACACGAAUAUUGCAGGUUAAAGUUAUAUAAACUAUAUGUAAGCCAACAGAUAAUUGCUAACUUACUACAUUAGUUCUGUUUUGAUACAAAUUGAGUUG